rnacentral:rRNA from 1 species
UGGGGAAUAUUGCACAAUGGGCGAAAGCCUGAUGCAGCGACGCCGCGUGAGGGAUGACGGCCUUCGGGUUGUAAAACCUCUUUCAGCAGGGAAGAAGCGAAAGUGACGGUACCUGCAGAAGAAGCGCCGGCUAACUACGUGCCAGCAGCCGCGGUAAUACGUAGGGCGCAAGCGUUGUCCGGAAUUAUUGGGCGUAAAGAGCUCGUAGGCGGUUAGUCGCGUCUGCUGUGAAAACUCGAGGCUCAACCUCGGGCUUGCAGUGGGUACGGGCUGACUAGAGUGCGGUAGGGGUGACUGGAAUUCCUGGUGUAGCGGUGGAAUGCGCAGAUAUCAGGAGGAACACCGAUGGCGAAGGCAGGUCACUGGGCCGCAACUGACGCUGAGGAGCGAAAGCAUGGGGAGCGAACAGGAUUAGAUACCCUGGUAGUCCAUGCCGUAAACGUUGGGCACUAGGUGUGGGUCCAUUCCACGGAUUCCGUGCCGCAGCAAAGCGCAUUAAGUGCCCCAGCCUGGGGA